rnacentral:tRNA from 1 species
UUUAAAGCAAUAAACUUUUAAUUUAUAGGAUCCUUAGGUUCAAGUCCUAAUACAUUCA